UCGGUUACAUCCGAACUUAGCCCUUCCUUACUUGUUAAUUCUUAGAACUAUUGCUGCGAUAUUGGCAGCAAAACUUAUAUGAUAACAAGAUUGGAAUAUCAUACACUAAAGCAACUAACAAGUGUUGAAUGUCCUUCUUUCAGUUAAAAUUUCUUUUCCCGCCAGAAUUGGAAGAGGCGAAUUGGAUAACUUUUUUUGCAUUCACAUGUCAUUUUUUUGACAAUAGAGCACAAACCAGCAAGCAGAGAUGUGAUUCGCCACAUUGGGUACAAAUCUGCUCAUAGUUAACUUAAGCGACAUUAACCUCACUUGUAAAUAUAUUAAUAUUAUAUAUUAUACUUCUUAAACAUAGGUAUGGCAUAGUCGGUUGAAUUAUAAGGGGUUUUGUGAUUAUUUGUAUGAGUGUCUGCGAGCUGCAACGUUUACGUUUAAGUUACUUAAAUAGCUUAUGGGUGAGACUAAUAAAAUUGCAAAGCCAAUGAAAUGUAUAGUUUUAAGAAUAUUUAAAAAAAAUUACAAAGAGACUCAACAACUACUAACAACUAACUACAGCUACUGUUGAAGCAUGUGGAAACAAACUUGGUGUGGGCAUGCGUGUUUAAUUAAUUAAGUGCAUAUGUAUGGUGCUCGCAAUAUGGGCUUAUAACCUUCAAACAAGAGUGCUGUAAAUGAGCAAGUACUACGAAUCCAGAACAAAUUUUUUGCAUACUGCAACUUAUUUACUUUCUCACCUGUCCAUCGCCAACUUCGCCUGGUCUCAAUAACUGUAAUUAGUGCAUGGUCAAAAACACAAAUUAAAAAAAUGUAAACAGUCAAGGGUGGACAUUUAUGUACAUAUGUAUAAAAGUGUUUUCUGUGUGAGGUUGUGCUUUGUUUAAACCACUAAGUCAAAAACUAAGUACGUGUGUAAUACGAAAAGACAUAUGUGCUGUGAAUCUUGUUAAAAUUUACACCCGAAGCAUUAUUAAAAAUCAUAAAAAUGAUUCCUUCAUGUCGAGUUUUUGCGUAUCAUGACGCCCAGGUAAUGUUCAGUAUUUGGUGGGAUCAGAAGGGCGUGCUGUGCCGUGCUUCUAAAGCCGUGUGAAACCAUUAAUAGGGAACGCUACCGACAACCGGAAUUUGCGACCAGACAUAAGGCAACAAUUUUCCAUUAUGACAACGCUCGGCCUCAUGCUGCACGACGGGUUAAUACCUAUUUGGACAAUAGAUACAGAACGCCCUCUCUGGAAUAUGGUUUAUAUCAGAACAUUUUAUUCAUAUACAACAAUGUUAUUAACAAAAUUAAUUAUGAUUACAAUGAAUGCGCUAACAUGUUUGUGAAAAUAAAUUUUUUUCUAAAAACUGUGGUUGGAAUGGAGAAAAAAUCAUCGAACUCGUAAGAAUUUCAAAGCAAGUAACAAAGAAUGGCUUGAUGAUGAGCUUAUAUUAAUGGACUUUGACUCAAAGUGCUGGAUGACUCAAACCUAACUUUACAGAUUUUCUAGGAAAAAAACAAAUAACGAAAUUUCCGAUGCCUGCGAAGAUCUGCGGUCAGUACUAGAUUGUACAACUAAGGUAAGUGAAGUGCUUUUUAGAUGAUAUCGAUUGAACUCCAAUGGCACUUCGUUCAAUAAAAUAAAGUCACCAAAUCAAUCAGAUAUCCAUCACUAACCUAUUAAAUACCAACAAAACAGAGGAAGCCCCAGCUUUAUAUAUUGUUGGUGGUUACUCAAAGAAAAAUUGUAUGCAUUUGCGGAGUGGUACCAAAUGCAAUUAUAUUUCUGACGUGUGAUAAUCUGCGGUCUGCAAAAGAAACUUCAGUUUCCGCUUCUAAAAAGAAUGAACUAAUAGAUAAAGAUAUAAUCAGAAAGUUUAAUUUUAGGUUUGUUUUUCAAAUUCCGAAUUUCGUAAAUAUAUAUUUUUAAAUAUUAAAUAAAAAUAGAAUCAAUUAUCUACAAAAUAAAAUUAUUCGUACAAAAAUAGCAUAAUUUUUUCUGAAGCUGUUAAUAA